rnacentral:sRNA from 1 species
CACCCCACCCCCAGAAAGGUCUAGAAUCUUGCCAGGAACCAAAGAUUAUAACACAGCAUUGGAGCCAAAAAUUGCUUAUGCGAGAACUUGAUGCGAAUCAGAUGACCGCUUCUCUUUUGGUGGAACUUGGGAUGUCUUCGAGAUCCUGCCUAUGAGCCGAACAAGGGCAACAGCAACAGACACCCCAACGGGCCCAUGAAACUAAGCUCACUUCCGUUUUACGACAUUUCCGGACAGAGACUCAAGCCUUUCACUCCACCAUGGGUCCUAGAUCAGGACCUGUCUAUGCCAGGAAAGAGGAAAAUACCAUUGUGGCCCAGUCGGCCUGCAGGUCACGAGACAAAACAGACAACCAGCUGUGCCCCGGGUUCCAGGAACUACAGAAAAUCACAGACCUUGGAAUACGAAGACCACCAGCAACAGGACUGGCAAAGGACUAGGCUUCGGGUUGUGUUUUACCCCGGCCUCUGGUUAUGUGACUAGCUAAGAGGGAAACUAGGCACCAAGGCAAAGGUGAGGUGACCGGGCAAGUCUAAAGUUGUACUGAGUAGAGGCAAAGACUGCACAAGAAUGAAAGAAAAAGACCAAGUAAUGAGGGGCAUGAGCUAAUGUCCAACCCUGACUGAACAAAUUAUUUUCCCACACAUGUAUUCCGAAGACUGAAGAAACAGUAUUACAUACACUCUUUUGAGCGCUUUCUGACCAACAUUUUUCUAUUAAAGGUUAUGCUUCUCGGGAGCCAGUAUCAAAGCUUCUUGUGGCUUGUCAGUAAAUUUAAGAGGCCAAAUCUGUGUAAAUUUAAAUUACAUAAAACCUCUCCCUCAAUUGCCUGGUCUCAGAAUAGCCCCUUUCACUGGGCAUUAUCAUCAGGGAAUAUAAACGCCUUUAUCAUAGGAGCCCAGGCUUUUGAAAUCUUGGCAUAAUCGAAUUUCCUCCUCCCAAGGCAUAUCAAACAACAUUGCAGAAUGGAGUCUAAUUUGCUUUUUAACCAAAAGGUUCUUUCCUCUGCUUAUUUGAAGACUAUUUCUAUAUAACAAAUGCAGUGUUCUCUAUGACCACCCCCCUGCCAGAUGGCAGUGCCUGGAAGCCUACACGGUCACCCUAAGGGCAAAGAUUGACGGAAUUGUGAGGGAAAAAAACAGCAGGACACUCUGUGCAUCGGGGAGACAGUGGGGACCGCAUGAGCAGACACCUGAAAGCAUCAAAAGCUACCCUGAACCCCAAGCAGAUGAUUCAAGGCUGAGAAUACAUUCUGAUGCCGACACAGACAAUGGAACAGACAGACAAGGUCAGACGCAGGAAAUGUGGUACUUGGAGCACCGUUAGCCCGGACUAGCAUGAGCCUCUGGGGAUUCUCUAUGGAAGUAAGUGGAUGGACUGCAGAAAAGACACAUGGGUUCCCUUUCUGUUCUAAGCCUUUUUCUUCCCAACCUUUGAGGGGUUUUGAAUAUAUAAGGAAUUUAGCACGGGGUGUAGGGGAUUCAGUGUCUUGGCCAAAGAAUUUGCCUUGAGGCUCACAAGAUCUUCCUAGUAUAUAUGCUAAAUUUUUAUGAUUUACAUUUAGAAGCAGCUCGGUGAGGGGGCUCUUGGGCUCUGGUCUCCGGGCUCCAGGCUCCAGGCUCAGGUGGGCAUCAGUUGAUAACAAGAGAUCUGAGGAGAUCAUGAUAAUCAUUUUGUUCUACUUCAUUGUUCUUAAUGGGACUGUCUUAGAGCUAAGGCUGCAUCUGAUUCCGAUCAUGCACUGAAGAAGAGUCAGGGGCCCACUAGAUGGCAGCAGAUGGUAAGAAAUGUGAACUGAGGCCGCCUCCUGGAGAGCUAGGCUUGCAGCCCUCCAUUUUGCUUUGCAUCUUUAAUGAGAUAUGUGAGGAAAAUGAGUCCCUUACAUGCCAGUUACAGAUGCCACAGCAUAUGGAGAGAUACCGCAUAGCAAUCUUUCUCUGUUUAUUAAACAGGAGGCAGCUAACGAGUCACUCGCUGCACCCUGCUGCCAUUGUCCUUUAAGUUGCUGGAUACUGUUGUUGACAAGGUAAUAACAAGAGAAAGAGGGUUAAGCAGAAUGACAGAGAGGUGUGGACUUCGAGAUUACAAGGCGUCGUCAAGUUGAGGUACAGAGCAAAUCACUAGCGAAGGGCGAGAGACCCUGGGUAGCUUUCUGCUACCACAUGCCUCCCCUGGGGCGUCCGCUGCUCUCUCCUCUCCUUGGCAGACCUUGGGGGUUCAUUUAUCUAGAGCCUCUAUUACCACUAGACAAGCUUGGUGGUCUGACCUUUCACCACAAACCCCAAAUGGGAAAGGGAGCUCUGGGCAUUUUAAAGAGCAAACUGCACUUGCUGUUGUAGCAGACUGAAAAGACAUCGCAUGACCGGAAUGCGUUAGGAUGCAUCCACCUAUGGGGGCCUGCUUUCUAAGCUGCCCAAAACAAAAGUAGGGGUCCACUCUUGCUGGCUGCAGACAUAACACACCACGGUGUGUGGUGUGUCCCAGGUCUGAAGCUAAUUUUGCUGUUUCAUUUCUGUAUUUCUGUAAUUCUUUUUUCUUUCUUUCUUUUUUCCCCAUUUACCGAGUACAACAAUUUGCUAUUGAUUUCUUCUAACCCAGGUCUUCGGACGCCCUGGGUGGUUUCUGAGAACAGGUUACAAAUCCAGACACCCCUCUUCUGCCUGUUAAGAAACUGGACUGUCCUCCAUUAACCACAAGGCCCGCGGUUACCAGGACUUCUCAGAGUCAUUCAUUAAAAUCUUCAUAUUGAGACGUCUCCUGCAGGACCAAACUCACAGAAGCAUCCAACAUGGCUGCCGUGACUAGGAUGGAGGCCUCUCCGGAGACAGAAUAAACACAUUGAUGGGAGUCACAGCUCCGUGUUCUUGUGUCUGCAAAGAGCUAAUCAAAGGCCCGCCCCUUUCUACGAUACCUCCUCGGCACAGAGCAUGGCCAUUUGUUUGUGGACAGAACGUUGUUCUCCAAUGCCCUACCUAUAAAUAUGUAAAGGCAAGAGACAAGACCAUUACUUUAGGGCACUGCUGUGCACUGCUGUUGGACAUCAUUAUGAAGGAAAGACUAUAAGCCCCAAGCAGAUAAAAUGCACAAAAGCCAGAGAGUCUACCAACAAGACACAAGCAUUUAGUGUUAUCCUGAAUUAGCCUCGUUUAUUUAUCGUCGUUCAUUUGAAACCAUGAAGCCCUUAUGCCUUGUAAAUCAAUACGCUAAAUGCUGUGGAAAUACAAAUUAAAAAUGAGUACUUGUCAAAUACGGACUACACUCAGCAGGUACCAGCGCCUCACUUUUAUCCUUUUAAACCAUGAGAGGUGAAAAUUAAAUCCUACUGAAUUACAUCAAUUUUCCACCUGAAAAUAAAAGCACGGUCCCCGAUUCCCUGAAGGACAAAUGAAUUACACACAUUCGAAAUCAAGGCCAGCAAUUAACAUCUUAAUCAUGGGUCCUUGAUAGCCUACCCACGAUUCUAAAAGUCUGGAAAACUGUAAAUAUUUAUAUACAUAGAUGCAGUAGUUAGAUUAAAGAUGUAUGAUAAACGGAUGAGUGUGUCACUGGAUGGAUGCAUGGAUGCAUGGAUGGUAGCACAGUAAAGUGGCUGAGUUCAAGUUCAGAUUGAAAGCUAGAUUUCUAGGUCUCCUCUUAUUACCUCACUAGCCACAUGACCUUGGGCACGUUACUUUGUGCUUUCCUUUUCUCAGCAAAGCUUUCAUGGGAGAAUUAUUCCUAAAAUUAAGUGAACUGUCCAGUGCCAACAUAUUUAGCAUAAGGUUUGGUACACAGGAAACACAUUAUCAAGUACCUAUGGUUGUGACGAGUGGGGAUAAUUACUACAUUUUCCUGUAGUUGAUUGGAUUGAGCUUUUAGCAAGUCGUUUACAAAAAUUAAGCCAUUAAGCCUCUCUCUGGCCCUGGGAAUAUGGAUCAGUCAAUAAUUUACUUUUCCGGCACAUGUAAGGACCUGAGUUCAUAUCUCCCAAAAACAUAUAAGAAAGUAGAACACAGUAGUACACAGUUGUAGUCCUAGCACCAGAAGGUCAAGAGCAGGAGGAUCACUCUGAACCUUCCUGGCCAGCUGAAUUGCUGUUCCAAGUUCAGCCAAAGAUUCUGUUUCAAUAAAAUAAGGUAGAAAGCAAGAGAGGAAGACAUCCAACAUCAACCUCUGCUCUCCAUGGGUACCCACAUGCACACAUACACUUGCAUACACACACAUGCAUGUACUACAAACACAUACAAACAGAGAGAAUCAAGUCGGUCUCUUGGAAACUUAAGCAUUCUUCUGUAUUGGCAUCCCAACUAGUAAGAACUAAAGAUCAAUGGGAGUUUAGAGAAACACAAUUGAAAAGACCUUCAAAUUCCUUUUCAGAGGAUGUUGCAAAGGAUGCUGAUAAAUUAUUAAUAAGGACCUACUACAUAGGAAAAAGCAAAUAGGAAGGUAAUUUUUGUUUGACCCUCAUAAAACGAGCAAGCAUGGACUUUGUGAGAUAUUAAAAUACAAUGCCUCCACUCAUUAAGUGGGUAGGAUAAUGGAAUAACU